GUAGCUUGCUGAGCACCUACACAGAUUCGCAGUCACACGUUCCUAUAAAUCAGUUCAGCCGUGACCAGCUUCUUCAGGAAAGGAGUUUUCAACAUGUGCAACGUGUCGUGCUUUGUGACCUUGUGGUGACAUAAUGGACAGUAUAUGAUAGUAACAUGUAAGCUUUUUAAGGAAUUCUCAGAAUUCUCAGAUGCCCUAUGGGCUUCACAAAAAAUGUUGAUUAGCCAUUUGAUUUAAUCUGUAUGGGGUUAUACCCUCUCAUAGUAAGCUUUUUUCCUUUGCUGGAAAACCCUUGGAGCCUUAAAUUUUUAGUGGCACUUCUCCUGUCAAGGUUAAUAAUCGAAUUAUGACAACUGAAAUUCACUCAGCUUUUGCAGUA
rnacentral:lncRNA from 1 species